rnacentral:rRNA from 1 species
AUAUGUGAUCGUCUCUCGCAUAUCAAUAAGCGGAGGAAAAGAAACUAACAAGGAUUCCCCUAGUAACGGCGAGUGAAGCGGGAAGAGCUCAAAUUUGAAAUCUUAAAGGGUUUCCCUUUACGAAUUGUAGUUUAAAGAAGUGUUUUCUGUUGAGGCUUUGGUAAAAGUUCUUUGGAAUAGGACAUCAUAGAGGGUGAGAAUCCCGUAUUUGACCUUUACUUUCAACUUUGUGAUACACUUUCAAAGAGUCGGAUUGUUUGGGAAUGCAGUCCAAAAUGGGUGGUAAAUUUCAUCUAAAGCUAAAUAUUGGCGAGAGACCGAUAGCGAACAAGUACCGUGAGGGAAAGAUGAAAAGAACUUGAAAAGAGAGUUAAACAGUACGUGAAAUUGUCAAAAGGGAAGCGUUUGACACCAGUGUUGUUUUUCUGAAAAUCAAUUAAAGAACUGUUUAUGCUAAGCUGUUUAGACUUUAUCAGCUAACUGUUUAGUUUUGAGCUUUUCUUUAAUGCACUUUUCAGUUAACAAGUCAACAUCAAUUUCUUUUGCUGUAAAAAAGCUUGAGGAAGGUGGCUUGAGAUUCGUCUUAAGUGUUUAUAGCCCCUUGCCUAUGCAGUCGGAGAGAUUGAGGUCUGCAGCGUAGAUCCUUCGGGGCUAAAUGCAUUUGUGCUAAGUUAUAGCAUUUUAUAGACAACUUGUUGACUAUGAUUUGUCUUGUAGCUUACUCGCUUAUGUUAUUUUACCUACGCUUAGGAUGUUGAUAUCGCGCUCUCACUG